GGGUCCGUGGUCUAGUCUGGUUAUGAGAUUUUGAAAUAAUUUUGAAAUCUAACAAACAUUGCCCUUACAAUGGUAAUAAGAAAGGCGAAGAUCGGGUGUUCAAAUCACCCCGGACCCA
rnacentral:tRNA from 1 species